AUCUGACGCUCAUAGGUGGAUCUGCCCCCUUCUCCAUCUCCAGGCCUGGACUAGCGGAAUCCUAAAUCCUCCCUGCGGCUGACGGGGGCAGGUGGUGAUGGCCAUCUCUUCCUCUCCUGCCCCCACCCUGCUAAGCACCUGGGAGACUCUCUAAGGGAAACCUCAGUUGGUGAAAGAUGAGUGACAGGUGACAGCAGUGGAGAGGAUGAAAUUCUAGUACACAAGCCCUUCUCGGUUCUCAAAGUGGUAUUCGGGCACUGGCUUUGAGCUGUGAGCAUGAACAUCAGAGAAUUCAGCCUGAGGCCAAGGCCACCCUGAAUUAAAGGACUUCCUGAAUCAAAGACUUACAAAAUGAAAUGAGC
rnacentral:lncRNA from 1 species